rnacentral:rRNA from 1 species
UACGUAGGGUGCAAGCGUUGUCCGGAUUUAUUGGGCGUAAAGAGCUCGUAGGCGGUCUGUCACGUCGGCUGUGAAACCUCGGGGCUCAACCCCGAGCCUGCAGUCGAUACGGGCAGACUAGAGUUCGGCAGGAGAGGGAAGUGGAAUUCCCGGUGUAGUGGUGAAAUGCGUAGAUAUCGGGAGGAACACCAGUGGCGAAGGCGGGUCUCUGGGCAGUAACUGACGCUGAGGAGCGAAAGCGUGGGGAGCGAACAGG